GACGAACGCUGGCGGCGUGCCUAACACAUGCAAGUCGAGCGGAAAGGCCACUUCGGUGGUCCUCGAGCGGCGAACGGGGGAGUAACAGGUGGGUAAUCUUCCCCUCACUUUGGGACAGCGACCGGAAAGGGGGAUUAAUACCGGAAAUGACCAUUAUUCUCAACGCGUGUGGUGGAAAGUUUUUCGGUGAUGGAUGUGCUCGCGGGUAAGCAGCCGGAUAGGGAGGUAAUGGGUGUCCAUGGCCUCGACGGGUAGGCGGCCUGGGAGGGUGGACGGGCACAAUGGGCCUGAGGGAGGGAGCAGACUGGUACGGGAGGCAGUGGUGGGGAAUCUUAGACAAUGGGCCGACGUCUGAUACAAAGACGCCGGGUGAGGAAAGACGUCUUUUGGGUUGAAAACCUCUUUCGGUAAAGACGACGCGGAAGUGACGGUAGCUAAAGAAGAAGCACCGGCUAACUACGUG
rnacentral:rRNA from 1 species